rnacentral:rRNA from 1 species
AGUGAACGCUGGCGGUAGGCCUAACACAUGCAAGUCGAACGGCAGCACAGGAGAGCUUGCUCUCUGGGUGGCGAGUGGCGGACGGGUGAGGAAUACAUCGGAAUCUGCCCAGUCGUGGGGGAUAACGUAGGGAAACUUACGCUAAUACCGCAUACGACCUUCGGGUGAAAGAGGGGGAUCGCAAGACCUCUCGCGAUUGGAUGAGCCGAUGUCGGAUUAGCUAGUUGGCGGGGUAAUGGCCCACCAAGGCGACGAUCCGUAGCUGGUCUGAGAGGAUGAUCAGCCACACUGGAACUGAGACACGGUCCAGACUCCUACGGGGGGCAGCAGUGGGGAAUAUUGGACAAUGGGCGCAAGCCUGAUCCAGCCAUACCGCGUGGGUGAAGAAGGCCUUCGGGUUGUAAAGCCCUUUUGUUGGGAAAGAAAUCUUUCAGGCUAAUACCCUGGGAGGAUGACGGUACCCAAAGAAUAAGCACCGGCUAACUUCGU